rnacentral:rRNA from 1 species
AGAAUCAACGCUGGCGGCGUGCCUAACACAUGCAAGUCGAACGAGAAAGUGGAGCAAUCCAUGAGUAAAGUGGCGCACGGGUGAGUAACACGUGACUAACCUACCCUUGAGUGGGGGAUAACCUAGAGAAAUCUGGGCUAAUACCGCAUAAUACCUUCGGGUCAAAGGAGCAAUUCGCUUAAGGAGGGGGUCGCGGCCGAUUAGUUAGUUGGCGGGGUAAUGGCCCACCAAGACUAUGAUCGGUAUCCGGCCUGAGAGGGCGCACGGACACACUGGAACUGAAACACGGUCCAGACUCCUACGGGAGGCAGCAGUGGGAAUUUUGCGCAAUGGGGGAAACCCUGACGCAGCAACGCCGCGUGGAGGAUGAAGUCCCUUGGGACGUAAACUCCUUUCGAUCGGGACGAUUAUGACGGUACCGAGAGAAGAAGCCCGGACUAACUUCGUGCCAGCAGCCGC